rnacentral:rRNA from 1 species
AAANGGGGGGGCUAUACAUGCAGUCGAGCGAACAGAUAAGGAGCUUGCUCCUUUGACGUUAGCGGCGGACGGGUGAGUAACACGUGGGUAACCUACCUAUAAGACUGGGAUAACUUCGGGAAACCGGAGCUAAUACCGGAUAACAUUUGGAACCGCAUGGUUCUAAAGUGAAAGAUGGUUUUGCUAUCACUUAUAGAUGGACCCGCGCCGUAUUAGCUAGUUGGUAAGGUAACGGCUUACCAAGGCGACGAUACGUAGCCGACCUGAGAGGGUGAUCGGCCACACUGGAACUGAGACACGGUCCAGACUCCUACGGGAGGCAGCAGUAGGGAAUCUUCCGCAAUGGGCGAAAGCCUGACGGAGCAACGCCGCGUGAGUGAUGAAGGGUUUCGGCUCGUAAAACUCUGUUAUUAGGGAAGAACAAACGUGUAAGUAACUGUGCACGUCUUGACGGUACCUAAUCAGAAAGCCACGGCUAACUACGUGCCAGCAGCCGCGGUAAUACGUAGGUGGCAAGCGUUAUCCGGAAUUAUUGGGCGUAAAGCGCGCGUAGGCGGUUUCUUAAGUCUGAUGUGAAAGCCCACGGCUCAACCGUGGAGGGUCAUUGGAAACUGGGAAACUUGAGUGCAGAAGAGGAAAGUGGAAUUCCAUGUGUAGCGGUGAAAUGCGCAGAGAUAUGGAGGAACACCAGUGGCGAAGGCGACUUUCUGGUCUGUAACUGACGCUGAUGUGCGAAAGCGUGGGGAUCAAACAGGAUUAGAUACCCUGGUAGUCCACGCCGUAAACGAUGAGUGCUAAGUGUUAGGGGGUUUCCGCCCCUUAGUGCUGCAGCUAACGCAUUAAGCACUCCGCCUGGGGAGUACGACCGCAAGGUUGAAACUCAAAGGAAUUGACGGGGACCCGCACAAGCGGUGGAGCAUGUGGUUUAAUUCGAAGCAACGCGAAGAACCUUACCAAAUCUUGACAUCCUUUGAAAACUCUAGAGAUAGAGCCUUCCCCUUCGGGGGACAAAGUGACAGGUGGUGCAUGGUUGUCGUCAGCUCGUGUCGUGAGAUGUUGGGUUAAGUCCCGCAACGAGCGCAACCCUUAAGCUUAGUUGCCAUCAUUAAGUUGGGCACUCUAGGUUGACUGCCGGUGACAAACCGGAGGAAGGUGGGGAUGACGUCAAAUCAUCAUGCCCCUUAUGAUUUGGGCUACACACGUGCUACAAUGGACAAUACAAAGGGCAGCUAAACCGCGAGGUCAUGCAAAUCCCAUAAAGUUGUUCUCAGUUCGGAUUGUAGUCUGCAACUCGACUACAUGAAGCUGGAAUCGCUAGUAAUCGUAGAUCAGCAUGCUACGGUGAAUACGUUCCCGGGUCUUGUACACACCGCCCGUCACACCACGAGAGUUUGUAACACCCGAAGCCGGUGGAGUAACCAUUUAUGGAGCUAGCCGUCGAA